GAGUUUGAUCCUGGCUCAGGAUGAACGCUGGCGGCGUGCUUAACACAUGCAAGUCGAGCGAAGCAUUAAAACAGAUUUCUUCGGAUUGAAGUUCUAAUGACUGAGCGGCGGACGGGUGAGUAACGCGUGGGUGACCUGCCUCAUACAGGGGGAUAACAGACAGAAAUGUCUGCUAAUACCGCAUAAGCGCACAGUGCUGCAUGGUACAGUGUGAAAAACUCCGGUGGUAUGAGAUGGACCCGCGUCUGAUUAGCUAGUUGGUAAGGUAACGGCUUACCAAGGCGACGAUCAGUAGCCGGCCUGAGAGGGUGAACGGCCACAUUGGGACUGAGACACGGCCCAAACUCCUACGGGAGGCAGCAGUGGGGAAUAUUGCACAAUGGGGGAAACCCUGAUGCAGCGACGCCGCGUGAAGGAAGAAGUAUUUCGGUAUGUAAACUUCUAUCAGCAGGGAAGAAAAUGACGGUACCUGACUAAGAAGCCCCGGCUAACUACGUGCCAGCAGCCGCGGUAAUACGU
rnacentral:rRNA from 1 species